GGGGAGAUACAGACACAAAGCACUAUGUACCACGGAGUUGCUGAAUAUGUUAAAAAAGUGCUGAGCAGUAUUAAAUUAAUGCAAAACUGAAGAUUACACAAGGGUAAACACUGCAGCUAAUGUUUGACUAGAGCUGAACUGAGGGCUGAGUGCCUCCACUUAAUUUGCAGACCAUGCCCACGGCAGCCCCAGGAGGCUGGGAGUGGAGGAGACAGACAUUUUAUAGUGAGGAGCCACAUUAUUAUUUUUAAAUUUAGGGGGAAAAAAAAAAAUCUGGCUAAAGUUACUGUUUCUAAACACUGGGGAGAGGCAACUGAGAGAAACCAAAAAAGAAGGAUCAGUGAGUGCCUUUUGGAGCUGAAAGAGAAAGAUAUGCUAAGCUAAUACCCAGACCUAUUCUUGCCAGGACCAAGGGUGGCUGGCUCUCUCAGCUGGCUCCUGUCUGACUUGUUCCCUGCUGAAAAGCAUGAAACGUCAUCACACUUCACAAGAGUUUAUCUUCAUGUCUUGAGUUUCCAGAAUUUGCAACCACAUUGACGUAGAUCUACAAGUGACAAAAGCACUGCGUUGCCAGGUCUGCUGAAGAACAGUGAGAAGAUUACAUUUUCCUCUGAAUUCAGCAGAGGUCUCCAAACAGUACUUGUCCUUCAGUUAUCUGAAGUCAAAAUGCAAAAGCAGACACCUCUCAUGAAAAGUUUGACCAAGAAGAGAAUAAUUUUCAGUGAAAAUUUGCUUAGAUGAAAAAUGUACAGCCAGCUCUGAUGCAAAGCACCUUAUGUAUCAGCUGUCCUUGCAAAUUUUCUUCCUGUCUGGAUCUCCCUUCUGUUUGAAAAGCAGACUUCUCCAUGAAACUUCCUCUAUAGUAAUAGCACAAGAAAGGCUGGUUUUCCUUAUCUCAGGAAAACAAGAGCUUGUUCAGAAGGUCCAACUAAGGCACUUCCCAACAGAGCUGUGCAAAAAGGCUGAGAAAAGCUGUAAUGGAAACGUGCGCCUCCGAAGAUCAAACCCACCCUUCAGGAAGGCUGUUACCAACUUCUGGGAGUGCAGGGGAAUAUGCCUUUCCCUAAAUUUCAUUAUAGAGGUAGGACAAGUAAUGUGGAGUUGUGUCUGGUAUCUAUAUUUAUCCUAGUCUGAAGCAAUGCUUCUAAAAUCAUGUGCCAGUAUGCUUAAAAUGGUGGAAGUGUGUCAUGGUUUUAGCUUUGUCAUACUAGAGGUAUUAUUGCUAGUCCUAGGUACGUGACACUAGACGCCAUCUACAAUACCACCAAAAAAUUUUUCUUCUGUCAAAAAAUGGUAUACUUUAAUUCUCAGGAACUAUUGUGUUACUACCACACACAUCAAGAUGUGUAGGCCAAAUGCUCUUUAUCAAAAUAAUUUUACAAAUUCUAGCAUAUCAGAAGGAUAUUUAAAUCAAAGCUAAUACCAGAUGUUCUAUGACAUAAACACCAUAAACAAAUAAGUUCAUAUAAUUUUCUCUUCUUUGCCUCUUACUUUGUGUGAGAAGUAUACCAUGGUUAAUGAAAAGGUUAUGCCAAGCAUUUAUAAGAAAAUUCUCAGCUUCAAAUACUAUAUAAAAAUGGAAACAUAAACACAGUUUUUAGAAGAACAAGUCUCCAGGGGGCAGACUGGGUGGCACGAACGGCAUGAAAUGCUUCACUGCAUAGGGUAUCUAUCUUUCACAUACGAUUACUUG